GACGAACGCUGGCGGCGUGCUUAACACAUGCAAGUCGUACGGUAAGGCCCUUUCGGGGGUACACGAGUGGCGAACGGGUGAGUAACACGUGAGUAACCUGCCCACAACUUUGGGAUAACGCUAGGAAACUGGUGCUAAUACUGGAUAUGUGCUCCUGCUGCAUGGUGGGGGUUGGAAAGCUCCGGCGGUUGUGGAUGGACUCGCGGCCUAUCAGCUUGUUGGUGGGGUAGUGGCCUACCAAGGCGGCGACGGGUAGCCGGCCUGAGAGGGUGACCGGCCACAUUGGGACUGAGAUACGGCCCAGACUCCUACGGGAGGCAGCAGGGGGGAAGAUUGCACAAUGGGCGCAAGCCUGAUGCAGCAACGCCGCGUGCGGGAUGACGGCCUUCGGGUUGUAAACCGCUUUCAGCAGGGACGAAGCUUUUUGUGACGGUACCUGCAGAAGAAGCACCGGCUAACUACGUG
rnacentral:rRNA from 1 species